rnacentral:rRNA from 1 species
GAUGAACGCUGGCGGCGUGCUUAACACAUGCAAGUCGAACGGUGAAGGCGGAGCUUGCUCUGCUGGAUCAGUGGCGAACGGGUGAGUAACACGUGAGCAAUCUGCCCCUGACUCUGGGAUAAGCGCUGGAAACGGCGUCUAAUACUGGAUACGAGCUGCGAAGGCAUCUUCAGCAGCUGGAAAGAACUUCGGUCAGGGAUGAGCUCGCGGCCUAUCAGCUUGUUGGUGAGGUAACGGCUCACCAAGGCGUCGACGGGUAGCCGGCCUGAGAGGGUGACCGGCCACACUGGGACUGAGACACGGCCCAGACUCCUACGGGAGGCAGCAGUGGGGAAUAUUGCACAAUGGGCGAAAGCCUGAUGCAGCAACGCCGCGUGAGGGACGACGGCCUUAGGGUUGUAAACCUCUUUUAGCAGGGAAGAAGCGAAAGUGACGGUACCUGCAGAAAAAGCGCCGGCUAACUACGUG